rnacentral:rRNA from 1 species
UACGAACCGUACAACCGUUAUUCGGAAUCACUGGGCUUAAAGGGUGCGUAGGCGGCCAUGUAAGUUGGGUGUGAAAUCCCUCGGCUCAACCGAGGAACUGCGCUCCAUACUGCAUGGCUUGAGGGAGACAGGGGUAAGCGGAACUGAUGGUGGAGCGGUGAAAUGCGUUGAUAUCAUCAGGAACACCGGUGGCGAAAGCGGCUUACUGGGUCUCUUCUGACGCUGAGGUACGAAAGCUAGGGGAGCGAACGGG